CGCAGAGCAGAGAUUUAAGUGAGAACGUAGAUAUAAAGAUAUUUUUAAUAAGUAACAGCCAUGUCAAAUUAUCUGCAUUUUACAUAUUUUCAAGAUAUUACGAAAAUACGUCUGAAACUUGGGUUCUUCUAAAUGAAUAUCACAGAUGAAUUAGAAGAGAGAAAUAUUCGAAAGGAUUAUUUAAUGACACAGUUUGAAAUGAAGCACUGAGGAAAAUACUUUACAGUAUUUGACAACAAAAAUUUGAAAUUUAAGAAGAAAAUUUUUUAUCUUGUGUAUUGUGAAAGAUGAUAAUCAAGCGGAGCUUUUCUUCUUUAAUUUUACUCGCGGAAGUUUGACCAAGACAUUUU